GUCCCUGUAGCGCAAUGGAAAGCGCGUUGAACAUUUAAUCCAAAGGUCGUGGGUUCGAAUUCCACCUGGGAGG